rnacentral:SRP_RNA from 1 species
AGGCUGGCGGCGGACGGACUCCUCGCCAACCGGGUCAGGUCCGGAAGGAAGCAGCCCCAACGAGUUUCGGUCCGGGUCGCCUUAAACCAGCCUUCC